rnacentral:rRNA from 1 species
GGUUAAGCGACUAAGCGUACACGGUGGAUGCCCUGGCAGUCAGAGGCGAUGAAGGACGUGCUAAUCUGCGAUAAGCGUCGGUAAGGUGAUAUGAACCGUUAUAACCGGCGAUUUCCGAAUGGGGAAACCCAGUGUGUUUCGACACACUAUCAUUAACUGAAUCCAUAGGUUAAUGAGGCGAACCGGGGGAACUGAAACAUCUAAGUACCCCGAGGAAAAGAAAUCAACCGAGAUUCCCCCAGUAGCGGCGAGCGAACGGGGAGCAGCCCAGAGCCUGAAUCAGUGUGUGUGUUAGUGGAAGCGUCUGGAAAGGCGCGCGAUACAGGGUGACAGCCCCGUACACAAAAAUGCACAUGCUGUGAGCUCGAUGAGUAGGGCGGGACACGUGGUAUCCUGUCUGAAUAUGGGGGGACCAUCCUCCAAGGCUAAAUACUCCUGACUGACCGAUAGUGAACCAGUACCGUGAGGGAAAGGCGAAAAGAACCCCGGCGAGGGGAGUGAAAAAGAACCUGAAACCGUGUACGUACAAGCAGUGGGAGCACGCUUAGGCGUGUGACUGCGUACCUUUUGUAUAAUGGGUCAGCGACUUAUAUUCUGUAGCAAGGUUAACCGAAUAGGGGAGCCGAAGGGAAACCGAGUCUUAACUGGGCGUUAAGUUGCAGGGUAUAGACCCGAAACCCGGUGAUCUAGCCAUGGGCAGGUUGAAGGUUGGGUAACACUAACUGGAGGACCGAACCGACUAAUGUUGAAAAAUUAGCGGAUGACUUGUGGCUGGGGGUGAAAGGCCAAUCAAACCGGGAGAUAGCUGGUUCUCCCCGAAAGCUAUUUAGGUAGCGCCUCGUGAAUUCAUCUCCGGGGUAGAGCACUGUUUCGGCAAGGGGGUCAUCCCGACUUACCAACCCGAUGCAAACUGCGAAUACCGGAGAAUGUUAUCACGGGAGACACACGGCGGGUGCUAACGUCCGUCGUGAAGAGGGAAACAACCCAGACCGCCAGCUAAGGUCCCAAAGUCAUGGUUAAGUGGGAAACGAUGUGGGAAGGCCCAGACAGCCAGGAUGUUGGCUUAGAAGCAGCCAUCAUUUAAAGAAAGCGUAAUAGCUCACUGGUCGAGUCGGCCUGCGCGGAAGAUGUAACGGGGCUAAACCAUGCACCGAAGCUGCGGCAGCGACACUAUGUGUUGUUGGGUAGGGGAGCGUUCUGUAAGCCUGUGAAGGUGUGCUGUGAGGCAUGCUGGAGGUAUCAGAAGUGCGAAUGCUGACAUAAGUAACGAUAAAGCGGGUGAAAAGCCCGCUCGCCGGAAGACCAAGGGUUCCUGUCCAACGUUAAUCGGGGCAGGGUGAGUCGACCCCUAAGGCGAGGCCGAAAGGCGUAGUCGAUGGGAAACAGGUUAAUAUUCCUGUACUUGGUGUUACUGCGAAGGGGGACGGAGAAGGCUAUGUUGGCCGGGCGACGGUUGUCCCGGUUUAAGCGUGUAGGCUGGUUUUCCAGGCAAAUCCGGAAAAUCAAGGCUGAGGCGUGAUGACGAGGCACUACGGUGCUGAAGCAACAAAUGCCCUGCUUCCAGGAAAAGCCUCUAAGCAUCAGGUAACAUCAAAUCGUACCCCAAACCGACACAGGUGGUCAGGUAGAGAAUACCAAGGCGCUUGAGAGAACUCGGGUGAAGGAACUAGGCAAAAUGGUGCCGUAACUUCGGGAGAAGGCACGCUGAUAUGUAGGUGAAGUCCCUCGCGGAUGGAGCUGAAAUCAGUCGAAGAUACCAGCUGGCUGCAACUGUUUAUUAAAAACACAGCACUGUGCAAACACGAAAGUGGACGUAUACGGUGUGACGCCUGCCCGGUGCCGGAAGGUUAAUUGAUGGGGUUAGCCGCAAGGCGAAGCUCUUGAUCGAAGCCCCGGUAAACGGCGGCCGUAACUAUAACGGUCCUAAGGUAGCGAAAUUCCUUGUCGGGUAAGUUCCGACCUGCACGAAUGGCGUAAUGAUGGCCAGGCUGUCUCCACCCGAGACUCAGUGAAAUUGAACUCGCUGUGAAGAUGCAGUGUACCCGCGGCAAGACGGAAAGACCCCGUGAACCUUUACUAUAGCUUGACACUGAACAUUGAGCCUUGAUGUGUAGGAUAGGUGGGAGGCUUAGAAGUGUGGACGCCAGUCUGCAUGGAGCCGACCUUGAAAUACCACCCUUUAAUGUUUGAUGUUCUAACGUUGACCCGUAAUCCGGGUUGCGGACAGUGUCUGGUGGGUAGUUUGACUGGGGCGGUCUCCUCCUAAAGAGUAACGGAGGAGCACGAAGGUUGGCUAAUCCUGGUCGGACAUCAGGAGGUUAGUGCAAUGGCAUAAGCCAGCUUGACUGCGAGCGUGACGGCGCGAGCAGGUGCGAAAGCAGGUCAUAGUGAUCCGGUGGUUCUGAAUGGAAGGGCCAUCGCUCAACGGAUAAAAGGUACUCCGGGGAUAACAGGCUGAUACCGCCCAAGAGUUCAUAUCGACGGCGGUGUUUGGCACCUCGAUGUCGGCUCAUCACAUCCUGGGGCUGAAGUAGGUCCCAAGGGUAUGGCUGUUCGCCAUUUAAAGUGGUACGCGAGCUGGGUUUAGAACGUCGUGAGACAGUUCGGUCCCUAUCUGCCGUGGGCGCUGGAGAACUGAGGGGGGCUGCUCCUAGUACGAGAGGACCGGAGUGGACGCAUCACUGGUGUUCGGGUUGUCAUGCCAAUGGCACUGCCCGGUAGCUAAAUGCGGAAGAGAUAAGUGCUGAAAGCAUCUAAGCACGAAACUUGCCCCGAGAUGAGUUCUCCCUGACCCUUUAAGGGUCCUGAAGGAACGUUGAAGACGACGACGUUGAUAGGCCGGGUGUGUAAGCGCAGCGAUGCGUUGAGCUAACCGGUACUAAUGAACCGUGAGGCUUAACCUU